UGUUAUACAGUGUCAUCUGUGCUAUAACUAAAUUAUUUGGGGUUUUUCAUAUUUAUUAUAAUUGAUUUGUAGUUGAAUAUUAAAUUUUUUGAUAAUUGAUGAAAAUUUUGACAUGAAGCACACAACUUAAAAUCGGCGAGUUGUUAUACAGCGUUGAAUAUUGAAUUUUUAGACAGGAAUGUUAAGUUGUUUCAUACAUACAAAUAGUAGUAAACUAAUGAGUUGAUGUAAGAUGUUAAGAUGCAUGCAGGAAGAAUUAACAUUCGUAGCUGCAAAAAAGGAGCAUUUAAGCAAAACGGACUCCAAAUGCGAAUCAGAUUAAACUUUGAAAACCAGAUUGAAAAACUGGGCUAAAUCAAAACAAGUGGGUUCGAGAGCAAUAUGUCUUGAAAGAAUCAACAAGAAAUAAAACCUAGAGAUGAACAUAAAAUUAAAAUUCCAAUUAUAAAUUAAAUAUCUCAUAGUUUAUAUCAAAAGAUUCUGAUGGUAUUAUAUUCUUCUUGGUGAGGUGAAGUAAAAGUGCUAUAAAUAUAUAAAAGAUUGAAUUUUUCAUUUUGUGAUGGUAGGUCACUACCUUGUGGUAAAAAAUAACUUUGUGCGCGGUAUAUUAAAUGCUUUUAUUGAUAAGAAUAAAAACUGAACAAAAACUCUGCAAGAUAAUAUAUGAAAAAUAAACAAAUCAUUCGUGCUCCUAAUAAUACCUUUACCUAAUUAGUGAUUGCAUAAAUCCUGCAAAGAUAAAAGAGAUUAAAAUUUUCUAUAAAAGUAAAA